ACCCGAUGGCAUAUUGUAUAAAUGGAAGGGACGGAAUUAUAUUCAAAUUCGUUGAUAUGGUGGAUGCUUAUCAACAUGGACGUGAUAGAAAUACUCCGUCAAUUGAGUAGCCAUGCAUCCCCCCAUGAUGCCUAACGAUGCUUUUAGAAGCCAUGCGCAAUCUCCAACUUAACCCUUAAUGUCUGUUCCAUGAAGAAAACCGAAUAGCAUAAUCAGGAAGCAAACCACGAUUACUAAUCACUGGCCAACGGAAACCAUACGACACAAGAACAGAGCGACCAGUGGAGGAAAAUGGAAAACACCCACUCGCCCUCCUUAAAAUCCUUAUCGCGUUAAACUUUCUCGGGUGAAGCCGCUGGAAAUUAAUUUUGCAUAACUUCUGUACCAAAGAACUGACUCGACGGCCUGUGAACAAUUUUUUCUAACCAUCCAAACUGGCAAUCGCUGGGAUUCGCCUUGCGCCGAAAGUUUUCUGAUCCAAGGAAUUUCCAACCCUGGCCAGCGACCAUCGCCGCUUUCGAAGAACAGAAUUGUGUCAUCCAAUAGGUCACUGAUUAACUGGUGGUGUAAUCAUUUGGUUCUAUCUAUCUCGAUUCUCGCCCAAUGACAGAAUACCCUUCUUUAGUGAAACGGUCUGUGCAAAGCGCAUUCCAUACAACAAGAACAACCAAGCCCGCUUGCUAGACGAGCGAUUUUCUUGUAGUUGCAGCAGCUGCUUGCGAUCCUGUUGCGGUGCAGCAUCUCGAUGAAAUCCAGGUUUGCUCCCGAUACCGACGCUGUGAUGAACUCGCUCUGCUGGAUGGUGGUGGUGUUUAUUGCCGGCGGCAACCGAUUCGGAUGUUGAGCGUUCGGAAUGUGAUUAUGGUAAAAAAGAUUAAUGGACGAUGACAUUUGUCGCUGGGUAUCACGCUCGAAUCAUCGAACAAGCGGUGGGGAAAGGCACUGUAGGAUUGGGCUCCGAAUUAAGUUUGUUUUAAAAUGUUUGUUUUUGCAAAACAUCAAAGUUUCACGCUAGAGAGAUCUCCAUGUCCCUCAUUUUUCGAGUUCAAAGAGUGCUCCAAUUGUACGAACUUUGCUGCAAAUUUAAAAUACGUGGCUAUGAACACGAUAACGUGAAUUAAUUUUUCACAAUAAAAUACAUCCUCACCAAAGGUGUAUUAAGGUAGCGCUUCUUCGCUUUUAUCGCAACAGUUGCAACGAAGGAGUCGUUUAAUUAUCCUGGUAGAUUUGUUGGAUAAUGAAGGGAGUAAAAAGUAAAACGAAUAAUUUGAUGAUAUCGCAACAUUCAAGAUUUGUUUUUAAAUAAUUGACUUGGGAACUAAAAUCUAUUGCAAAUACGAUUUACGAGAGGGGAUUCUCGAAUAAUGAAAUUCAUCCCCAAAAUUUAAAGGAGGUGAGGGAGAACGUGAUUCAAUUCCUAGUGGAAGCUAAAAAGGUAUUCCAAGAUGAUAGCAAGCAUUUUUUGGACCACGAACUACGAAUCUACAGACCUCUGAAAGGACAAAAAAUAGGACCACCAUUUUGGGUUAACUUUUUAGGGUCGAAACGUGAGAAUUGAGCCAUGACUACCGGCACCCCAAUGAUUAUCAUUUACUAAUAUCUUUUGACAUACCGUCGUCGGGGGCGACAAUGGGUCAAAUGGGGGUGAGUAUAGGUCACUCUUUCAACUACUUAGAAUGCUUGUAGAAUAGAUUGAAUGUAUCUUAGUGCAAGAAGACUAAAAUAUAAGAGACCUCUUUUUGAACGAUUUUGCUCUACGAUCUCCAAACUGCCUGUGAGAGCGAUGACCCAUUCUCACCCCCCAGACCCAUUGUCACCCCGAUGGCGGUAGUGAAUAAGUUUGUUGUCUUGAUUCUUAGUUUUUGAGAUACUGGAGUUGGUCCUAUUUUUUGUCCUUUCAGAGGUCUGUAAGUUCGAAGUCCGUUGUCCAAAAAAUGUGCAUCACCGGCUGAGAUAAAUUCAGGUAAAUUCCCCCGGGCUGCCAAAAUACAGCCCUCCAAAGUUGGUAAUUUUGUAUGAAAAACGGCCUCUGGUCUUAGUUUUGUCCGACACUGUAUUUGGACCCAAUGGUUUCACUAAAUUUACGAUCAGUAUCUUGAGGACUUGGGAGUGAAUCCAGAGAGAAAUAAAAAAAAUAUCACACUAAUCCUCUCUGUAUACAGUAGGGGUAAAGUUUUUCGCAUAUUGUGACGAUAAUGAACUUGCGGUGCCCUGCGUAAAUUUUAUUUUUUUUAAAUUUGUUCUUCACAUAGUAGAAUACACUGGAUUUUGUUUUUACGCGAUUUACAUUUUCUCAAUUUUCCACUCUUCCUAAAUGUUUAACGUAUAUUAAUUACCAUGUGAUUUUUCUUUGAUUUAUUCCGGAUUUUUUGAAACAUGUUGCGAAGAGUUUGGUGGCAAAUUGAAGUCACACGAUCAAAAAUACGAGCGAAAAAAAAUCGUGUAAAAACAAAAUCCUGUGUACUCAUAAUAGGCAAAUGUAAAAAGUUUUUUGAUUGAAUACAGCUGAGUUAUAGAAAAAGGUCGUAAUCGUUAUUUUGUGAUUUUUUAUACAUGUGCAGUUCAGUUUUCCAAUGCAAUUAGGCCUUUAAACUACUCCUAACAGUACUUUAAUCUAUCAUAAUUCAGUUCUAAAUAGGACACUGAUGUGGUAGCCUUAAAUCUAAUAUCUGGUCUGGUUCAGCCCUUUAACGUUCGUCAGUAUUAGAGGAUUUAUGUGACUCAGCACUGAGAAAGACACACGGCUGCAAAUCAAAUUAUGUUUUCUUGAAUGAUCGAAUGAUAUUAUAGGUAUGAAUCUAUUAAUGGCACUUGACCUACUACAGAUAUCUCGCUGUAUUCUUGACCUCAAUAUAUUGUAGGCCCGAAAAAAAUCGAUUACAAAUCUACUUCUACUGACUAACCAAAUCGAACGUAGAA